UGUGCACGUGCACAUGUGAGAACAUGUCUCCGUGUUCAGCCAUGUGGAGGCUGGGGAUUGAUGUCAGCUGGCUUCCUUAGAUGCUAUCCAUGUUUACUCUGUUGUGUGUGUGUGUGUGUGUGUGCACGUGUACAUGUGAGAACAUGUCUCCAUGUUCAGCCAUGUGGAGGCUGGGGAUUGACGGCAGCUGGCUUCCUUAGAUCCUCUCUAAGGAAGAGGAUCAUUGCUUACACUGUCCAAGACCAUCCUUAGGGAUAUAGUGAAGUUAGCUUGUUUCAAAAGAAACUGUAAUUUAGGUAUAUGAAUAAGGAUCUCUAUUCAAAUUUAAACACUGUUUUAAAAAGUCUAAGGUGAGAUUUUGACAGAUGGUAAAAAGAGCAGUCGCCUUAGAUACGCAAUAACUGACUCUUCCACGAAAUGCUCUGAAAUGCCUGCCAAAAGCAUCUCAAACCACUCCUAAGUUUUCUAAGCUUAAAUCCCAGCUUCUUCAAGAGACAUAUGCAAUAUUUUUUUGCCUUUUUUCUUUUUGAAUAGAUUCGAUUUUUUAAGAGCAGUUUUUGGUUUGGUUUAUAGCGAUUCUGAGGGAAGAGUACACAGUUUCCGUGUAUACCCGCCCCAUCUCUCCAACCAUAACUGUCCUGAAACAGGGUUGUAUAAUCUGCUGGAAUAGAGUAACUUACAUCUACCUGAGGAUCCAACCCAGGACCGUGGACAGAGGGUUUGACAUCAUACAUCCUUGGGGUUGAGCGGAAUAUAAGGAGCAUGUUUCCAUUGUCAUGGUAGUGUCAUAGAGUGCUUGCCCUCCCCACUCCCUCCGCACUGAUAACCGACAACCACUGAUGGAUUUUAUCGUCUUGUGACAUUAUUAUCGGAGACAGCCUCUCAAGGAUCUCUGGCUGGUCUCAAAUGUGCUGUGUAGCUGAGGGCAGACGGCCUUGAACUUCUGAUCCUCUUGCCUCCGUUUCCCAGGUGCUGGGAUUCCAUGCACCUACACGCUCAGUUUUAAGCACUGUGGGACAUGGGUCAGUCUCAGGUCCCUCACUGGGACCCAGAUGUAGGCUAGGCUGGCUAGCCAGUGAGCCGCAGGGAUCUCCCUGUCUCUACCUUCCCCACACUGGGGUUCCAGGGGUGUGCCCUUACACCCAACAUUUCUGUGGGUGCUGGGGUUUAAACUCAAGCCUCGAUGCUUGCAUAUCAAGCUCUCUACUGACUGAGCCCUCCCCACAGCCCCGAUUGCUUUGAGAUAGGGUCUCCUGUAUCCCGAGCUGAUGUGCCCUGCUGAGGGUGUCUCCGGCUUCCCUCUCCCAGGUGCUUUGAUUAUGGUUGAGCACCACCACAGAGCGAAUCCUUCUAUAUUUUGGAUUCCAGCAGAGGAUGAAAGGAUAAUGGCUCAUCAGGUGUGUGGAUGUGGUCGUGCCAUUUUACGGGUGACACCCCCCCCCAGCCGUCUAUCGAGUAGUUCCUGUUUCAUCUUCAAGUCACAGGGGAGACAGGAGGGACGUCGAAAUAGGAGAAGAUAGAAAGAACAUAAAGAAUUCCAGACACGCUGGGCGGUGGUGGCGCAUGCUUUUAAUCCCAGCACUCAGGAGGCAGAGGCAGGUGGAUCUCUGUGAGUUCGAGACCAGCCUGGUCUACAAGAACUAGCUCCAGGACAGGCUCCAAAGCUAGUCUCCAUAAACCAAAAAAACAAAAAACAAAACAAAACAAAAAAACCAGACGCUCAUUCCCUUUUCUCCCAGACUCAUUUGUGGAGAGCGUGGUUGGUGGACCCUCUAAUUCAAAAGAAGCUGGAGCAGUGAUUCUCAACCUUCCUAAUGCUGCCCUGCGACCAUUUAGUGCAGUCCCCCGCCAUAAAGUUAUUUUCGUUACUACUUUAUAACUGUAAUUUUACUGCUGUUAUGAAUCGUAAUGCAAGUAUCUGUGUUUUCUGUUGGUCUCUGGCGAACCCUGUGAAGGGGUUGUUCGACUUCAAAAGGGUAGGUUGAAAAGUGCUGAACAAGAGGUCCCCCCCCC